rnacentral:tRNA from 1 species
GCGGACGUGGUGAAACUGGUAGCCACAGCGGACUUAAAAUCCGCCGCCCUCAAACGGCUUACGGGUUCGAGUCCCGUCGUCCGCA